GAUGAACGCUGGCGGCGUGCCUAAUACAUGCAAGUCGAGCGAACAGACGAGGAUCUUGCUCCUCUGACGUUAGCGGCGGACGGGUGAGUAACACGUGGAUAACCUACCUAUAAGACUGGGAUAACUUCUGGAAACCGGAGCUAAUACCGGAUAAUAUAUUGAACCGCAUGGUUCAAUAGUGAAAGACGGUUUUGCUGUCACUUAUAUAUGGUUCCGCGCCGCAUUAGCUAGUUGGUAAGGUAACGGUUUACCAAGGCAACGAUGCGUAGCCGACCUAGGAGAGGGAUAGGCGACACUGGAACAGAGACACGGUCCAGACUCGGACGGGAGGAAGCAGUAGGGAACCUUCCGCGAUGGGAGAAAGGCUGACGGAGCAACGCCGCAUGAGCGAUGAAGGCAAUGGGAUCGUGAAAUACAGUGAUUAGGGAAGAACAAAUGUGUAAGUAACUAUGCAAGUCAUGACGGUACCUAAUCAGAAAGCCACGGCUAACUACGUG
rnacentral:rRNA from 1 species